rnacentral:rRNA from 1 species
GCAAGUCGAGGGGUAACAUGGUUCUUGCACCUCUGACGACCGGCGCACGGGUACGUAACGCGUAUACAAUCUACCUUAUAGAGGAGAAUAGCCCAGAGAAAUUUGGAUUAAUGCACCAUGGUAUUAUCGACUAGCAUUAGUUGAUAAUUAAACAUUUAUGGCUAUAAGAUGAGUAUGCGUUCUAUUAGCUUGAUGGUAAGGUAACGGCUUACCAUGGCAACGAUAGAUAGGGGUCCUGAGAGGGAGAUC